ACGAACGCUGGCGGCGUGGAUAAGACAUGCAAGUCGAACGAGAGAAUUGCUAGCUUGCUAAUAAUUCUCUAGUGGCGCACGGGUGAGUAACACGUGAGUAACCUGCCCCCGAGAGCGGGAUAGCCCUGGGAAACUGGGAUUAAUACCGCAUAGUAUCGAAAGAUUAAAGCAGCAAUGCGCUUGGGGAUGGGCUCGCGGCCUAUUAGUUAGUUGGUGAGGUAACGGCUCACCAAGGCGAUGACGGGUAGCCGGUCUGAGAGGAUGUCCGGCCACACUGGAACUGAGACACGGUCCAGACACCUACGGGUGGCAGCAGUCGAGAAUCAUUCACAAUGGGGGAAACCCUGAUGGUGCGACGCCGCGUGGGGGAAUGAAGGUCUUCGGAUUGUAAACCCCUGUCAUGUGGGAGCAAAUUAAAAAGAUAGUACCACAAGAGGAAGAGACGGCUAACUCUGUGCCAGCAGCCGCGGUAAUACAGAGGUCUCAAGCGUUGUUCGGAAUCACUGGGCGUAAAGCGUGCGUAGGCUGUUUCGUAAGUCGUGUGUGAAAGGCGCGGGCUCAACCCGCGGACGGCACAUGAUACUGCGAGACUAGAGUAAUGGAGGGGGAACCGGAAUUCUCGGUGUAGCAGUGAAAUGCGUAGAUAUCGAGAGGAACACUCGUGGCGAAGGCGGGUUCCUGGACAUUAACUGACGCUGAGGCACGAAGGCCAGGGGAGCGAAAGGGAUUAGAUACCCCUGUAGUCCUGGCAGUAAACGGUGCACGCUUGGUGUGCGGGGAAUCGACCCCCUGCGUGCCGGAGCUAACGCGUUAAGCGUGCCGCCUGGGGAGUACGGUCGCAAGAUUAAAACUCAAAGAAAUUGACGGGGACCCGCACAAGCGGUGGAGUAUGUGGCUUAAUUCGAUGCAACGCGAAGAUCCUUACCUGGGCUUGACAUGUAAUGAACAACAUGUGAAAGCAUGCGACUCUUCGGAGGCGUUACACAGGUGCUGCAUGGCCGUCGUCAGCUCGUGUCGUGAGAUGUUUGGUUAAGUCCAGCAACGAGCGCAACCCCUGUUGCCAGUUACCAGCACGUGAAGGUGGGGACUCUGGCGAGACUGCCCAGAUCAACUGGGAGGAAGGUGGGGACGACGUCAGGUCAGUAUGGCCCUUAUGCCCAGGGCUGCACACGUACUACAAUGCCCAGUACAGAGGGGGCCGAAGCCGCGAGGCGGAGGAAAUCCUAAAAACUGGGCCCAGUUCGGACUGUAGGCUGCAACCCGCCUACACGAAGCCGGAAUCGCUAGUAAUGGCGCAUCAGCUACGGCGCCGUGAAUACGUUCCCGGGUCUUGUACACACCGCCCGUCACAUCAUGGAAGCCGGUCGCACCCGAAGUAUCUGAAGCCAACCGCAAGGAGGCAGGGUCCUAAGGUGAGACUGGUAACUGGGAUG
rnacentral:rRNA from 1 species